AUUGAACGCUGGCGGCAGGCCUAACACAUGCAAGUCGACCGAGUGGCGGACGGGUGAGUAAUGUCUGGGAAACUGCCCGAUGGAGGGGGCUAACUACUGGAAACGGUAGCUAAUACCGCAUACUAUCGGAUGUGCCCAGAUGGGAUUAGCUAGUAGGUGGGGUAACGGCUCACCAAGGCGACGAUCCCCAGCUGGUCUGAGAGGAUGACCAUCCACACUGGAACUGUGACAAGGCCCAGACUCCGACGUGAGGCAGCAGUGGGGAAUAGUGGACAAUGGGCGCAAGCCUGAUGCAGCCAUGCCGCGUGUAUGAAGAGGGCCUUCGGGUUGUAAAGUACUUUCAGCAAGGAGGCGUUACUCGCAGAAGAAGCAACGGCUAACUCCGUGCCAGCAGCCGCGGUAAUAC
rnacentral:rRNA from 1 species